ACUCCAUAUGGGAGGAGUCUGAAGAAGGGUAAAAGUCAUGGGUAAGAGCCAAGUGAAAUGGUAGGGUAUGUGACUUGAAGCAAGACUAUUGCCAUUGCUAAGUCAGUGGUCAAGGUUGAGUGCACUAAGUCUCCACAGCCCAAAGGUAUGGGUUGAACCCAAGGGUAAGGGCUUGAGUGGGGGAGAUGAGAGUAAUAGUUUCCCUAUUGCUCCACUAGGCACUGUAUGUGAGUUGGGUUGUUUGGGAAUGCAGGCCUAAUCGAGUAGUAAAUUCUACCUAAGGUUGAAUAUGAUUGAGAGAUCGAUAGCAAAAAAAUACCGCAAGGGAAAGAUGAAAAGGACUUUGAAAAAAUAGUCAAAUAGUGCUUGAAAUUAUUAUAAGAGAAGUAGAUGGGGGCUGACUGUGCACCACAUUCGAAUGUGGAACAACAAAAAACAAUUCACUAAUUAGUUUGAAGUGUGGACCAACAUUGAAGCCCAAGCUUUCGAUAUGCCCAUGGAGAGGUUGUUGCUAUAAUCAUGGAAUGUAGCACGUGUCAUCUUAGCAUGCCAUAGCAUUGGCAUGCUUUCAGUGUCGGCCUACAGUCUCCCCAUUUGGCUUGUGUUGAAACAUAGACCAAGGAGUCUGACAUGUGUGUAUGUCAGUAAGUUUUAUCAAGCAAAGCCAAUGAUUAGAGGCAUUAAGGGUGCCAUGCCCUCAACCUAUUCUCGAACUUUUAAAUAAGUAGGAUGACAUGGCUGCUUCAUUGAACCACACCACUAAAUCGAGAGCUUUGAGUGUGCCAUUUUGGAUAAAUAAGAUUGGCAUUGCAAGAUGAACCAAAAGCUAAGUUACGGUGACCAACUACAUGCUAACCUAGAACCCACAAAUAGUGUUGGUUAAUUGAGAUAGUAGGAUAGUGGUUAUGGAAGUCAAAAUCUGCUAAGGAGUGUGUAACAACUUACCUGCUGAAUUAACUAGCCUAAAAAAUGAAUGGCAUUUAAGCGUGUGACCUAUACCAGGUUGUCGAGGUAAGGGCCAAGCUCGAUAAGUAAGAGGGCAUGGUAGAUGCUACAAAACCUAGGGCACAAGCCCGAGUAGAGUGGCCGUUCAUGCAAAUCUUGGUGGUAGUAGCAAAUAUUCAAAUAAGAACUUUGGAAGCCAAAAAAGGGAAAGGUUUCAUGUGUAUGGUACUUGCACACAGGUUAGUCAAUCCUAAGAGAUAGGGGAAGCCCAUCCAAUAGCAUGUCUAGCAUUAGCUUUGAAAGGGAAUUGGGUUAAAAUUCUUGAAUCAAGACAUGGUAGCUGACAACAAUGUUUGAGAGUUUGGAGAUAUUGGCAGGGGCCAUGAAAAGAGUUAUCUUAUUUAUUUAACAGCUUACCCACCCUAGAAAUGGCUCAAUCGAAGGCAGGGUCCAAUGGCUAGAAGAGUCCCGUACAUCAUGUGGUGUCCAGUGUGCCCCUAGUGGCCUUUCAAAAUUUGAAAGAUUGAGUGCCAUCAAUACGCAAUCGUAUUCAUAACUGUAUCAAGUCUUCAAGGUGAUCAACCUUUAGUUGAUGGAAUAAUGUAGGCAAGGGGAGUUGGCACAAUGGAUUUGUAACCUUUGAAAAAGGAUUGGCUCUGAGGGUUGGACAUGAGGGUCCCAGUUCAAAAUCCAUCAGCUAUCGAUGUACUACUCGAGUUGCUCUCAUGGAAAGAGUGGGUCACUGCAUGCUGGCUGGGGGACAAAUUGGGAAUGGCUCUCUCGGAGGCCUUCCCCCUAGCAGUGAACAAGGGGAAUCCAACUGUUCAAUUAAAAUAAAGCGUUGUGAUGGUUCUUGCAAAUGCUCAUGCAAUGUGAUUUCUACCUAGUGCUCUAAAUGUCAAAGUGAAAAAAUUCAACUCUGUGCAGGUAAAUGGCGAGAGUAACUAUGGCUUUCUUAAGGUAGCCAAAUGCCUUAUCAUUUAAUUAGUGAUGUGCAUGAAUGGAUUAACAAGAUUCAUACUAUCCUUAUCUACUAUCUAGCAAAACCAUAGCCAUGGGACAGCAUCUAGCCCCUCGUUGGUGUAGGUAAUCGCAUCCAACACCAUCAAUAGAUGCUAGCCCAAUGUUGCCUUGGACAACAUCAGUAGAUGUUAUUCCCUUAGUGUAGGAUGUUUCCCCAAACACCAUCGCCAAAUGCUAGCACUUAGUGCUAGCACAUACCUCAACCACUAUUGGCACAAGUGGGCCCUUGGUAUGGGUUAUUGCCUCAGACACCUCUUUGACAGAUGCUGGCACUUAGUAUGGGUUGUUGCCUCAUACACCUUUUUGGUAGAUGCUGGUACUUAGUGCAGCAUGUGUACCAUAACCCUCUUACCUAAGGCACUUGUUUGCCCCUUGAAUACCAUCAACACCAAAUAAUGCUCAGUGCAUGCAUCAUGGGUUUUAGUCUUAAGCCAAACUCUAUGCAACCUUGGAUAGUGAAUUGACUUUCUCUGCCUAAGUCACCUUACAAAACUCAAGUGCUUACCAAAAUUUCAACUUGUCAAAGAUUGUGGUGCAAUAUUGGGCCUUCUAUAAGCCCACAAAUUUGAUCUUCCUAGGAUUUUGU
rnacentral:rRNA from 1 species